UGCUGAGCUUUCCCCAGACACAAUGUACAUUUAGAGUGGUUGGACACUUCUGGUUGGUUUGCAGGCUGGCCUGCAGUUGUUAUGCUCCCUACAAGAUGUAUUUGCUCAAGGGGUCCAGUCAUCAUGCUAAAUAAAAUCAUUCACUUUGGUCAGCAAAUAUUGACUCAAGCUGUUAUGCUUUUAUGUAUUUCAGAGACUCACAAUGUUUGAGAGCUCAGCAAGCAAACAAGAACAGACAGAAUACAGGCCUAUGUGUGUAAAAAUAUAUGAGAGUAUCCAAAUUACUCAGUCCCGUGAGAAAUACCUGUGGAGUAUCAGGCAGAAGUAUCUCGACCUGUGUCCGUGUGAUCUAUUCAUCUUCAGCGGCAACAAGCAGUACUUCAUAGCCACUGGAUUGCUUGCUGUGGAAGAAUGCAUCAGUUCUGUUUCCAGUCAUGAUGACACCCAGGACAGGUUUUUCAGUUGAGCUGAACGUUGGUCUCGUUAAAUCAUUUGACUGACUCUGAGUAAUAGAUCCAUGCAGUACCCCUGGGAAAAGUAAUUACUGCAUGCAAUGUGCACCUCUCAUGGAAAUAACAAAGUGCUUCACAGUAAGGAGCAUGGAAUCAGUCAAGUCAGGAAUAGACAUGAGCUUUGAAGAUAAUAUAAACUAUGUUUUCUUGUUGACAAAAUACUCAAAGGCUUUUGUUUAUGCUUUUAUUCUAAACAAGACUUCCCAGACAUAAAUCAAUAUGGCAGCAUUUGAUUCUCAAGAGCUAACAAGAACUCAAACACUAAGUAUGGUUUUCAGCACUUCAUAACUACUCAUUAUGUUUAUUUCCCAGUUUUCUUUGUUAUUUGUUUCCUGUCUCCAUUCAGAGCCAACACAUUUUUGGCUUUCAAUUUGAAGCGUGAAGCACUGCCAAUCAGCAGGAAAUAUAAUACAGAUAAGAUUCAUAUGAAGUCUUUUGAACUGCUAAAAUCUCUGGAUGGGAAAUGGAUGUUAAAUUGUUUACAUUUGGCACGAGAAGAAAAAGUUCCAUUUUUAAAUUCAAAGCCUUUCCACCUUUGUAAAUGAAAACAAAUCACAUGGGUCAUAUAGAGUUCCGCUUCUGUAAAAUCCAUCAUAAGUCUGAUAAAAGCUUUUGUAAAUCAGCAAUUUUAUCUGUAGCUUGCUUGAAAGUCAUUUUACAGCUUAAAAGGAAAUGGCCCUUUGCCCUGUGUCCUUUAGAAAAGUACUGUAUCAGUAACAUGUUCAUGACACAGUAAAAACACUAAAAUAUUAAGAACGGUUUUAUUGGUGUUUUAAUCUUUUUAAGGAGAUACGCUAUGUUUUUGCAUAACUUUAAAAUUUUCAUAUUAGUCCUGUAUUUUUAAUUUCUUGAGAAUAUAUAUGCAAGAUCUAUUACUCCAGGAUCUGUUUCUACUUUGCUUUGUUUCAUUUGCGAAGAAUCUCUGUGGAAGGCACUUCCCACCUCCAAAUUCUAUGGUUCUAAAGAUUUGCAAGGUGCAGAUAAAGGAAAUAACCUGUCCCAGUUUUCUGAACAUUUAGUAGAUUUGGAACCAAAAGUUAAUAUUCAAAUUAGUGGGAUGCUUUUAUAUCAGCUCUUACAUGUGUGCAGGAUGUAGCAGACAGAUUCUGGAUGGCAGUAGAUCUCAAAAAUGAAGUUGGGAGCAGCAUCUCCUUUGGAACAGUUAAGCAUUGCUAAUGAGUACUAAUCAUAUGGCAAAUCAGAGAGUGAGAAGCAGUCACAAAACUGCAGGCUGUUAUGUGGAACCUCUUAUAUUUCAAAGCCAGCAGAAACUAUAAAAACUGACAAAGAUGUUCAGGACAUGCUUGCCAACAAAAAAGCACUUCAGCAAUUGAAUAUCUCCUGGAUCACCAGGGAAGGAAACCCGUUUGGAGAAGCAGCUUAACCUUGAAGCCUUGUGACAUUUUUGGGGUUGGAUGGAACAUAUUGUCGAUGGUGGUUAUGGUUGAAUAGUCACAAAUCUAAUUUAGGGAGAAAAAUCUCUUGAAAUUAUAAUUAAGAGUUAUGCAGUGGGCAGAAGCAUUAUUUCAGGAAUAGGACUUAAGCUACUGCUUAUGCUCUUGUCUUCUUUGGAUCACUAAUACAGGAAUUUUCAUAUGAAACAUGCUUCCUUCUGAUGUCUUUCCAAAUCAGAGGUCAUGGAGCUACAAACCUUGUUGAAUACUAAUGAAUCCUAAACCAUCCUGUGUGCAUGUUCUCAAGGAUGUUGUAGCCAAAUGGCUGGGUAUAUAUAAAAUCCAUAUUUUUUUCUUUCAAGGAAAUUUUAGCCCAAAUGUCUGAGUAUUGAUAAAUUUAGUGAAUGUGGAUAUUGUGAAAAUUUUACUUAUCUCAACUAACAGCUGCAACCUCAUUGAAUUUCAUAACAGUUUGGUGCUCACUCGGACAGAAUUUAACUCUCUGUUGAAGAAUAUUGGAGAAUGAAACAGAAAUACUGGUAUCAUACAGAUACCAGAUCAUUUUUUUCAGAUUAUGACUUCAAGACACUUGAUAAAGCUACAGUAUUUCUUUUCAGAGUUCCUGAAUAGUCAUUGUUUGUAUUUUUGAUGCAAUUUUCAACUAACAUUGUUGGUUGUUGGGAGGAAAGAGUUGAAAACAGAAGACCAGGGAGGAGAGGAUAGAUUUGCUCGAGUGACCUUGCAGCUGGGAAUACCAAGGCCUGUAGAACAUCAGUGUGGGAAAUGAUGUAUUAAAUCUACUGCUGUUUAUCCUCUAUCUGUUUGGAGAAGUAGAAUUUCUGUCUAGAGAUAACAUAGGUGUUUACAGAGACUUGUAGGCCCUAUCCCAGACAUGCCUGACCUCCCUGUGGGGAGGGAGAUCAAAGCAGAGACCAUAAAAAGCACAGGGAGAUCACAGCAUGGUGCUAAACUGUGCUCAGGCCCUGGAUAAAUGGGCACAGCAGAAGCCCUGCUGCCCACUAGGACUGGACUGAGCCUGAUGGCACCUGAGCCCUCAUUCUGUGUCUCUGUCACCCAGCCUUGUUUCAGGAUCCUCCAGUUAGCAAGGUAAUCCAUUCUCUGCAUUUCAGCUGUGGUUUUGUGGUUCAGGUCACUUGCCUGUAUCAAAUCACACACAGGUGUUUGUCCUUGUGUAAUAUUGUCUUUAACUAUUGGAGGGCUUUAACUAUUUUAAUUGUGUAUGCUGAACUAGGAGUUUAAUCACAAUUCUAAUUCUUUCCAGUUGCUCUUGAUGUGCCUGUAGCUUCCAAGGAAAAUUUCCUGAAGGAAGGCUAGGGAAAACAUGAGAAAACUGGAAAAUGGGGUAAAGCACAUCAUGAAGACAUGCAGAAAAAGCUAAGGUACUCAAUGGUUCUUUUACUUCAUUCAUCACAUGCCCUAGGAAAGACAGGGCUCUGAGACCAAAGGGGAAGUCUGGAACAAGGAAAACAGUGCCAGCCUAGAGAGAACACAUGAAAAUGUGAACUUAAGUCUGUGUGGGCUGGUGGGUUGCACCCACAAAUUAUGAUGAAGCAGGCUAAUGCCAUUGCAAUUAUAAUCUUGAUUAUCUUUGAAAGGCUGUGGCAAUUGGGAGAGGUUUUUGCAACCUGUAAAAUAAAAGAUGUCAUUCUAAUCUUAAGCUGCA
ensembl:lncRNA